rnacentral:ncRNA from 2 species
AGAACGUCGUGAGACAGUUCG